UACGUAGGAGACGAGCGUUGUCCGGAGUUACUGGGCGUAAAGGGUGCGCAGGUGGCGGCGCGCGUGGGGGGUGAAAUCGCCCGGCUUAACUGGGCGGGGGCCUUCCAGACGGCGUGGCUGGAGCAAGCUAGGGGGCAGUGGAAUUCCCGGUGUAGUGGUGGAAUGCGUAGAUAUCGGGAGGAACACCAGUGGCGAAGGCGGCUGCCUGGGGCUUUGCUGACGCUGAUGCGCGAAAGCGUGGGGAGCGAUCCGG
rnacentral:rRNA from 1 species